UACGAGGGGUGCAAGCGUUGCUCGGAAUUACUGGGCGUAAAGGGCGCGCAGGCGGCUGCUCAAGUCAGGCGUGAAAGGCCUGGGCUCAACCCGGGAAUUGCGCUUGAGACUGGGCUGGCUUGAGUGCGGGAGAGGAUGGUGGAAUUCCCAGUGUAGAGGUGAAAUUCGUAGAUAUUGGGAAGAACACCGGUGGCGAAGGCGGCCAUCUGGACCGCAACUGACGCUGAGGCGCGAAAGCGUGGGGAGCAAACAGG
rnacentral:rRNA from 1 species